rfam:Gordonia rhizosphera NBRC 16068 DNA, contig: GORHZ191.
GGGGCCUUAGCUCAGUUGGUAGAGCGCCGCCUUUGCAAGGCGGAUGUCAGGAGUUCGAAUCUCCUAGGCUCCA